rnacentral:lncRNA from 1 species
GUAUUGGAACAAGAAUAAAUUGAAUCUCUCUGUCUGAAAAGAGCCAGCUGUGUAUGAAAACACUGCCUGUCUUCUAUAACAGGCUGGCUGUUAUUUACGGAAGAUGGAACUUUCAAGUAGUAUCCUCAGAAAAAUAAAACUACAAGGAAGAGAAGAGCCAUGGAAUUGCUGGUGCCUACUUCUUCUGAUCCUGCGAGGCAGAUCCAUUUGCUCAGUUUUCCCACAAGUGUUUCAGCUGGAGUGGGAGGCACGGAGCUGUCAGAGUUCUGCGAACUUGGCCAGGUUUCUGUAACCAGAGAGCCCAUCAAAUCUGCAUGUGGUACCUAAAGAGCUGCAUGUGGGUUGAAAGUCCUGGUUUCAGUGUUGCUGGCUUAUGGAUCAAAAUGUCCUUCUAGGUCCUAGCCAUCUCUUCUAGAGAGUUUUAUCACUAGUUACCUUUUAAAAUAUUGCCUCUCUAAUGUUGAGAAAUGCAAAACAGAGUCUUUGAAAAGGAAAUUUGUAUUUCCUACAGUUCAAGAGAUGGAAGAAAUGUUUAUAUUUACUAAUGAAACACCUGAAAAAAUUAGAAUCUCGGUUUUUAUUUGUAUAUAUAUAUAUUUAAAACAUUAUCAUCCAUUAUGGAAUGUAUCCUGUAGGACACACAUAUCUUCUUAUCGCUUCUCUUCACGAAGUAUCAAAUAUUUGCCUUGGAUGGCUGCACCUAAUGAUGGAGGCUUUGAAACUCCUGAAGGCAUUUCCAUGAGAGCCUCUGUCAUUUGAAAUUUUAAAGCAAAGAACUCACUCUUUUUAAUCUGAACUAAUUUCAGUGCAGUGAUGACUAAAGGAAGGAAAAUGGAC